rnacentral:rRNA from 3 species
CCAAUGACUCUCGGCAACGGAUAUCUCGGCUCUCGCAUCGAUGAAGAACGUAGCAAAAUGCGAUACCUGGUGUGAAUUGCAGAAUCCCGUGAACCAUCGAGUUUUUGAACGCAAGUUGCGCCCGAGGCCUUCUGGUUGAGGGCACGUCUGCCUGGGCGUCACGC